GUCUCUUCGGAGACAUCCGAUAAAAUUGGAACGAUACAGAGAAGAUUAGCAUGGCCCCUGCACAAGGAUGACACGCACAAAUCGAGAAAUGGUUCAAAUUUUU
rnacentral:snRNA from 1 species